UUUAAAAUAAACGUUCAGGUUAUUUUUAAAGAAAAGCAUCAAUAAAUAAAUUUUCUUAAUCAGCUAAAGACCGGAUUUGUUGAAUUCCUCAAACUUACAAGAAUAUUCAUUUCAGGCUGAAUGUGAAG